rnacentral:rRNA from 1 species
GACGAACGCUGGCGGCGUGCUUAAAACAUGCAAGUCGAACGGGGUCCAACCUUCGGGUGAAGACCUAGUGGCGAACGGGUGAGUAACACGUGAGCAACCUACCCCAGAGACCGGGAUAAGCCAGGGAAACGUUGGUCUAAUACCGGAUACUCUCAUCGGUUCUAUGGACUGAUGAGCAAAUGGUUUUUCGUCUUUGGGAGUGGCGUCGCGGACUAUCAGCUUGUUGGUGGGGUAAGU